UACGGGGGGGGCAAGCGUUGUUCGGAAUUACUGGGCGUAAAGGGCUCGUAGGCGGCCAACUAAGUCAGACGUGAAAUCCCCAGGCUUAACCUGGGAACUGCGUCUGAUACUGGAUGGCUUGAAUUCGGGAGAGGGAUGCAGAAUUCCAGGUGUAGCGGUGAAAUGCGUAGAUAUCUGGAGGAACACCGGUGGCGAAGGCGGGUCUCUGGGCCGAUACUGACGCUGAGGAGCGAAAGCGUGGGGAGCGAACAGG
rnacentral:rRNA from 1 species